UGGGGAAUAUUGCACAAUGGGCGAAAGCCUGAUGCAGCAACGCCGCGUGAGGGACGACGGCCUUCGGUUGUAAACCUCUUUUAGCAAGGAAGAAGCGAAAGUGACGGUACUUGCAGAAAAAGCGCCGGCUAACUACGUGCCAGCAGCCGCGGUAAUACGUAGGGCGCAAGCGUUAUCCGGAAUUAUUGGGCGUAAAGAGCUCGUAGGCGGUUUGUCGCGUCUGCUGUGAAAACCCGAGGCUCAACCUCGGGCCUGCAGUGGGUACGGGCAGACUAGAGUGCGGUAGGGGAGAUUGGAACUCCUGGUGUAGCGGUGGAAUGCGCAGAUAUCAGGAAGAACACCGAUGGCGAAGGCAGAUCUCUGGGCCGUAACUGACGCUGAGGAGCGAAAGGGUGGGGAGCAAACAGGCUUAGAUACCCUGGUAGUCCACCCCGUAAACGUUGGGAACUAGUUGUGGGGUCCAUUCCACGGAUUCCGUGACGCAGCUAACGCAUUAAGUUCCCCGCCUGGGGAGUACGGCCGCAAGGCUAAAACUUAAAUGAAUUGACGGGGUCAUAGCUGUUUCCU
rnacentral:rRNA from 1 species